rnacentral:rRNA from 1 species
AUCAGGUUGAUAGGUCUGAGGUGGAAGCGUGGUGACACGUGGAGCUGACAGAUACUAAUAGAUCGAGGACUUAACCUU